rnacentral:lncRNA from 1 species
GAUGAGCGCACCUCCCCCCUCAGGGAGGGCGGGAGGGAAGGAGGGAGGGGGCUGCGCUGCGCAGCCGCCAUGUUCGGUUGCUAUGCUGCGGCCCUGGAGAGGGUCAGGGUUUGAAGGAGGGAGGGGAAGAGGAGGUGGAGGAGGUGGAGGAGGUGGAGGUGGUGGGGACCAGCCUCCUGUCCCUGGCCGGUGUUCUCCCUUUCACACCCCCGCCAGCCCGCCCCUCCCAGCCCAGCCCUGUCCUGCCCUGCCCUGCGGGGAGCUGGGCCUCCCUUCCUUCCACCCCAGGCGUCCUCCUCCCCCUUCAUCUCCUUCCUCCCCUUCCUCCCCGCAGACCCCUCAUCCCCUCCAGGGUUGAGGUGGGAAGAUCGGAAUUAGACUGGGAGGCCGGGAGCCUUCCCUUGAGGCCAAUUGUCUGGGAGGGAGGUGGCAGGGAGAGGGGGCCUCCUGCAAGCCUCAGCGCCUCGGUGGGUCCCUUCUGGGGGAUUAUCGAGGCUCUAUGAAUUUUAUGUGUUUUUUUAACUUCAAAAAGGCUUUCACAGCUGCACCCCCCAAAAAGCCUGCUUUACAGCUACACCCCCAAAAAGCCCCCCCAAAAAGGCUGCUUUACAGCUGCACCCCCCCAAAAAAGCUGUUUUACAGCUACACCCCCCCAAAAAGGCUUUUACAGCUGCACCUCCCAAAAAGGCUGCUUUACAGCUGCAUCCCCCAAAAAGGCUGCUUUGCAGCUGCACCCCCCAAAAAGGCUGUUUUACAGCUGCACCCCCCAAAAAGGCUGUUUUACAGCUGCACCCCCCAAAAAGGCUGCUUUACAGCUACGCCCCCCAAAAAGGCUGCUUUACAGCUACACUCCCCAAAAAACUGGUUUACAGCUACACUCCCCAGAAAAGCUGCUUUACAGCUGCAACCCCCAAAAAGGCUGCUUUACAAGUACACCCCCCAAAAGAGCUGUUUUACAGCUACACCCCCCCCCCCCCCCAAAAGGCGGGGGGUGGGGAGCUUCUGCGUCUCCUCCUCCUGCUGCCUCCUCCUCCUCGUCGUCGUCGUCGUCUGGUCCUGUUCCUCCUCCCCUUUCUGGCCCGGCGGUGCUGCAGCCCCGCAGUAUGAGGCGGUGCGGGCUGCUCAGGCCGCUGGGGGGGCUGCUCCUCCGGGGGAUUUGAAGGGAGACCCCAGCGGGGGCGACACAUCACUCCCUCACAUCGCUUCAUCCGACACGGACACAGACACCGAGAGAGAGAUUGCCCUUUUCCCCCCGACCCGAUCCGACCCGAUCCGACCCGACCCGACCCGCCCCUCUUCUCUCCACCUGAAAGAACGUGGCUAUUAUAUGAAGAAUGCGACCAGUGCCCAUCGGCUCCUCGAAUCGUCCCCGCAACCCGUUAACCGAUGAGCGCGAUGUGGAUCUUCACAAAGCGUUGUCUUGCAGGCAGAUUUUGCGGUGCCCUGCCUCCAAAUCAAACGCCGAGUGCUGUCAUGUGGGCACCAUGUUAGACCGUAUUUUCUGCUUCAUGAAUCACAAAGUUGUUUUCAAAACGUCAAACCCCAUUUUUCAUAACAGAUACCGCCGGCAUGCUCAUCGUUUGGAAGCUGAGAAAUAAAAGUGGGGGUUCCUGGGAAGAUAUGGGGGGUUUGCGCAUCCAUUUCAAAUAUCUGCCUUGGACCACUGAGCAGCCGUAAUAGGCGGAUGCAUGUCUUAUUGUUUUUCAGUUGACAUUUACUUUAGGCUGAAACAAUUUUGGCUUGGGGGAUGACUGACAUUCAUUCGCAGGAACUUGACUUUUGGAAUUUGUCAUUAAAACUGAAUAUGGAACGUUCAAGGAGUGUACGUGGUAUUUCCUCAAAAGCAUUGAUGUUUGAGGAAUUGGACUCCCUUGUAUAAUUUCUAAUGUGCUUUGAUUCUGGAUUUAGUUUAAGCAUGAGAAUCUGUAUUUAACUAUAAAGUAGUUUCUUUUAAGCUCUGUACUGUCAAAAUUAUUAUAAAAAUGAUCCAUCCCUGUAGCUUUAAAUGGUCACCACCCAAAUGUCUAAUUUAAGCUAAACAUAAAGACAGUAUUGAUUAUACACAUGCUAAAAAUAUGUACAGGGUCGGGUGUAGUUUGAAUGCUACCUCAGGAAACUUCUUGUGAACUAUCUUGGUCUAGCUAAUACAGAUUUCAUUGUUGCCAGAGGACUUAUUUUAAGACAAUUACAGAAUCCCUCAUUGAAGUAGUUUUAAUCCAUUUAUUCAAUAAUGGAAAAGUCAAAUUUUACCGAUUUGGAACUGUAUAUACUUUGCAUAGAACUCAGGUGGAAUAUCAUAUAAUAAAUUCAUUUUAUAUUCACUAAAGAAAGCCUUGUUCCCUGUGAAUGCAUUGUUAUGUGUGUCCAAUAUUUUAUCCUUUUCUUUAGUAAAAAUCAGUAGUGUUGUGACAUAGACAGCGCCGUAAAUCCAAUAUUCACAGAGUGCCAGAACAGUGUUAAAAAUGAGCGCCAUCGGUCACCUUUUUAUUUCAGCAAUUAGGAGAUUUGUGUAUUUAUUGAUUGAUAAGUAGGGGAAAGGAGGAAGAAGGGGAGGGAAAUUACACCUCUUGAAAUUUUCAGGCAAUUCAGGUAUUCCAGUAGCUUAUUUGGAUGAGAUUUUUUUGCAGUAGAUCUGAACCCAGGAAGUGAGAGGUAAAGGUAUUGAUUACAUGUUGGCCUCAAACAAUGGGACAGCUAUCUUAAAAUAUGCAGAAAGCUUAAACCAGUUUUAAUGGAUGUUGUUUGGGAAGGGAAAUAAGGGCUUAAUUUAAUUGUUGGUACCAAAAUCCAAUUUUGAGGCGCUUGCUUUUAGUAGUGUUACUGCCAUUUUGAAACACUUUAUUAGCCGAGUUUGCAGCAUUGCUUGUGAAUUU